GAUGAACGCUAGCUACAGGCUUAACACAUGCAAGUCGAGGGGAAACGACAUUGAAGCUUGCUUCGAUGGGCGUCGACCGGCGCACGGGUGAGUAACGCGUAUCCAACCUGCCUCUGACUAAGGGAUAACCCGGCGAAAGUCGGACUAAUACCUUAUGAGGUUUUCUGCAGACAUCUAACGAAAACGAAAGAUUUAUCGGUCAGCGAUGGGGAUGCGUCUGAUUAGCUUGUUGGCGGGGUAACGGCCCACCAAGGCAACGAUCAGUAGGGGUUCUGAGAGGAAGGUCCCCCACAUUGGAACUGAGACACGGUCCAAACUCCUACGGGAGGCAGCAGUGAGGAAUAUUGGUCAAUGGGCGAGAGCCUGAACCAGCCAAGUAGCGUGCAGGAUGACGGCCCUAUGGGUUGUAAACUACUUUUAUGUGGGGAUAAAGUGAGCUACGUGUAGUUUAUUGCAGGUACCACAUGAAUAAGGACCGGCUAAUUCCGUGCCAGCAGCCGCGGUAAUACGGAAGGUCCAGGCGUUAUCCGGAUUUAUUGGGUUUAAAGGGAGCGUAGGCCGUGGAUUAAGCGUGUUGUGAAAUGUAGACGCUCAACGUCUGAAUUGCAGCGCGAACUGGUUCACUUGAGUAUGCACAACGUAGGCGGAAUUCGUCGUGUAGCGGUGAAAUGCUUAGAUAUGACGAAGAACUCCGAUUGCGAAGGCAGCUUACGGGAGCACAACUGACGCUGAAGCUCGAAGGUGCGGGUAUCAAACAGG
rnacentral:rRNA from 1 species